rnacentral:rRNA from 1 species
CAGGCUUAACACAUGCAAGUCGAGGGGCAGCAUUUCAGUUUGCUUGCAAACUGGAGAUGGCGACCGGCGCACGGGUGAGUAACACGUAUCCAACCUGCCGAUAACUCGGGGAUAGCCUUUCGAAAGAAAGAUUAAUACCCGAUGGUAUAAUCAGACCGCAUGGUCUUGUUAUUAAAGAAUUUCGGUUAUCGAUGGGGAUGCGUUCCAUUAGGCAGUUGGUGAGGUAACGGCUCACCAAACCUUCGAUGGAUAGGGGUUCUGAGAGGAAGGUCCCCCACAUUGGAACUGAGACACGGUCCAAACUCCUACGGGAGGCAGCAGUGAGGAAUAUUGGUCAAUGGGCGCAGGCCUGAACCAGCCAAGUAGCGUGAAGGAUGACUGCCCUAUGGGUUGUAAACUUCUUUUAUAUGGGAAUAAAGUUUUCCACGUGUGGAAUUUUGUAUGUACCAUAUGAAUAAGGAUCGGCUAACUCCGUGCCAGCAGCCGCGGUAAUACGGAGGAUCCGAGCGUUAUCCGGAUUUAUUGGGUUUAAAGGGAGCGUAGGUGGACAGUUAAGUCAGUUGUGAAAGUUUGCGGCUCAACCGUAAAAUUGCAGUUGAUACUGGCUGUCUUGAGUACAGUAGAGGUGGGCGGAAUUCGUGGUGUAGCGGUGAAAUGCUUAGAUAUCACGAAGAACUCCGAUUGCGAAGGCAGCUCACUGGACUGCAACUGACACUGAUGCUCGAAAGUGUGGGUAUCAAACAGGAUUAGAUACCCUGGUAGUCCACACAGUAAACGAUGAAUACUCGCUGUUUGCGAUAUACAGUAAGCGGCCAAGCGAAAGCAUUAAGUAUUCCACCUGGGGAGUACGCCGGCAACGGUGAAACUCAAAGGAAUUGACGGGGGCCCGCACAAGCGGAGGAACAUGUGGUUUAAUUCGAUGAUACGCGAGGAACCUUACCCGGGCUUAAAUUGCAUUUGAAUAUAUUGGAAACAGUAUAGCCGUAAGGCAAAUGUGAAGGUGCUGCAUGGUUGUCGUCAGCUCGUGCCGUGAGGUGUCGGCUUAAGUGCCAUAACGAGCGCAACCCUUAUCUUUAGUUACUAACAGGUCAUGCUGAGGACUCUAGAGAGACUGCCGUCGUAAGAUGUGAGGAAGGUGGGGAUGACGUCAAAUCAGCACGGCCCUUACGUCCGGGGCUACACACGUGUUACAAUGGGGGGUACAGAAGGCAGCUACCUGGUGACAGGAUGCUAAUCCCAAAAGCCUCUCUCAGUUCGGAUCGAAGUCUGCAACCCGACUUCGUGAAGCUGGAUUCGCUAGUAAUCGCGCAUCAGCCAUGGCGCGGUGAAUACGUUCCCGGGCCUUGUACACACCGCCCGUCAAGCCAUGAAAGCCGGGGGUACCUGAAGUACGUAACCGCAAGGAGCGUCCUAGGGUAAAACUGGUAAUUGGGG